rnacentral:piRNA from 1 species
AGAUGGACUUAUAGUAGGUGAUGC